rnacentral:rRNA from 1 species
GAGACACGGUCCAGACUCCUACGGGAGGCAGCAGUGGGGAAUAUUGCACAAUGGGCGCAAGCCUGAUGCAGCCAUGCCGCGUGUAUGAAGAAGGCCUUCGGGUUGUAAAGUACUUUCAGUAGGGAGGAAGGUGGUUAAGUUAAUACCUUAAUCAUUUGACGUUACCUACAGAAGAAGCACCGGCUAACUCCGUGCCAGCAGCCGCGGUAAUACGGAGGGUGCAAGCGUUAAUCGGAAUUACUGGGCGUAAAGCGC